rnacentral:rRNA from 1 species
AUGCGUUCCAUUAGUUAGUUGGCGGGGUAACGGCCCACCAAGACAACGAUGGAUAGGGGUUCUGAGAGGAAGGUCCCCCACAUUGGAACUGAGACACGGUCCAAACUCCUACGGGAGGCAGCAGUGAGGAAUAUUGGUCAAUGGACGAGAGUCUGAACCAGCCAAGUAGCGUGAAGGAUGACUGCCCUAUGGGUUGUAAACUUCUUUUAUAUGGGAAUAAAACGUUCCACGUGUGGGAUUUUGUAUGUACCAUAUGAAUAAGGAUCGGCUAACUCCGUGCCAGCAGCCGCGGUAAUACGGAGGAUCCGAGCGUUAUCCGGAUUUAUUGGGUUUAAAGGGAGCGUAGGUGGAUUGUUAAGUCAGUUGUGAAAGUUUGCGGCUCAACCGUAAAAUUGCAGUUGAAACUGGCAGUCUUGAGUACAGUAGAGGUGGGCGGAAUUCGUGGUGUAGCGGUGAAAUGCUUAGAUAUCACGAAGAACUCCGAUUGCGAAGGCAGCUCACUGGACUGCAACUGACACUGAGGCUCGAAAGUGUGGGUAUCAAACAGGAUUAGAUACCCUGGUAGUCCACACAGUAAACGAUGAAUACUCGCUGUUUGCGAUAUACAGCAA